GAUGAACGCUAGCUACAGGCUUAACACAUGCAAGUCGCGGGGCAGCAUGGGGGUUGCUUGCAAUCCCCGAUGGCGACCGGCGCACGGGUGAGUAACGCGUAUCCAACCUGCCCUUCACCACGGGAUAACCCGGCGAAAGUCGGACUAAUACCGUAUGUUGUCCAUUGACGGCAUCCGAUUUGGACGAAAGGUUUGGCGGUGAAGGAUGGGGAUGCGUACGAUUAGCUGGACGGCGGGGUGACGGCCCACCGUGGCGACGAUCGGUAGGGGUUCUGAGAGGAAGGUCCCCCACACUGGAACUGAGACACGGUCCAGACUCCUACGGGAGGCAGCAGUGAGGAAUAUUGGUCAAUGGGCGUAAGCCUGAACCAGCCAAGUAGCGUGCAGGAUGACGGCCCUAUGGGUUGUAAACUGCUUUUAUGCGGGGAUAAAGUGGCCCACGUGUGGGUUUUUGCAGGUACCGCAUGAAUAAGGACCGGCUAAUUCCGUG
rnacentral:rRNA from 1 species